GUCAGUAUGGCCGAGCGGUUUAAGGCGCUGCAAUCAGGUCGUAGUACACUUGCGUGGGCUUGAAUCCCACUUCUGACA